rnacentral:rRNA from 1 species
GAUGAACGCUAGCUACAGGCUUAACACAUGCAAGUCGAGGGGUAGCAGGGUAGCAAUACCGCUGACGACCGGCGCACGGGUGAGUAACACGUAUCCAACCUUCCCAUAACUCUGGGAUAGCCUUUCGAAAGAAAGAUUAAUACCGGAUGGUACUUUUUCAAGGCAUCUUGAGAAAGUUAAAGAUUUAUUGGUUAUGGAUGGGGAUGCGUUCCAUUAGAUAGUUGGUGAGGUAACGGCUCACCAAGUCUUCGAUGGAUAGGGGUUCUGAGAGGAAGGUCCCCCACAUUGGUACUGAGACACGGACCAAACUCCUACGGGAGGCAGCAGUGAGGAAUAUUGGUCAAUGGGCGAGAGCCUCAACCAGCCAAGUAGCGUGAAGGAUGAAGGUCCUAUGGAUUGUAAACUUCUUUUAUAGUAGAAUAAAGUGAUCCACGUGUGGAUUUUUGUAUGUAUACUAUGAAUAAGGAUCGGCUAACUCCGUGCCAGCCGCCGCGGUAA